CACCUACCUCUCCAUGCCAUCCUCCACCUCCCAGCCGCCACACACACACCCUCCACCAGCACCUAGUGGUUGUGCUACAGCGGCGUGCGCACCUCCACCAGCAGCUCCCGCUCCUCCUCCGCGUACAUCUCGCCCAGGUGCACGCUCACGCAGGAGCCGCCAGCGCCGCCGCCGGCGGCAAGCGCCACGGCCUGCUGCCCCGGGCCGCAUGAGUACAUCGCCUUGAAUCUGUGAUCUCCCCCAUCGGGAACACCAGCUCCAGGUGCACCUCGUGCAUCACCACGCAAGCCUGACGGUGGCCAUUGGGUUGCGGUCGCGCCGGUCCUCGAGCACCCUGGUGGCCUUGCGCAGCGCGUCGCCGAUGCAGGUUUUCAUCUCAAAGUGUAGCAUAUAUAUUUUUUCAGACUGGCGGAAAUUGAUCAGUAGAGGAAUAUCAAUAACCAUAUCAUAUAUGGUGAUGGAAUUGCAUUGGUGGAUGAAUGCCAAUGCUCAGUGGAAAUGGAAAUGGCCUUCAAUGCCAAAGCUGCUGUUUGGGAUUCUAUAUAAUUGCUAGUUGGAAUCAAAUGGUAGCAGCCAAUUCUAAUUCCUGUUUGGAUGUGCAAACUUAUGAAUUGUAACUUUUAAGGAGUUCAUACUGUAUACAUUGUUGUACAUGUAUAAAAAUAUAGUUUUCAAAACAUGAGGAUUA